rnacentral:rRNA from 1 species
AAAUGAAUAGACGGGGACCCGCACAAGCAGCGGAGCAUGUGGUUUAAUUCGAUGCAACGCGAAGAACCUUACCAGGGCUUGACAUAUAUGCGCUAGCACUAGAGAUAGUGGGUUCUCUUCGGAGACGUAUAUACAGGUGGUGCAUGGUUGUCGUCAGCUCGUGUCGUGAGAUGUUGGGUUAAGUCCCGCAACGAGCGCAACCCCUAUAUCUAGUUACCAGCAAGUAAAGUUGGGGACUCUAGAUAGACUGCCGGUGACAAACCGGAGGAAGGUGGGGAUGACGUCAAAUCAUCAUGCCCUUUAUGUCCUGGGCUACACACGUGCUACAAUGGCCGGUACAGAGGGAAGCGAAGUCGUGAGGCGAAGCGAAUCUCAGAAAGCCGGCCCCAGUUCGGAUUGUAGGCUGCAACUCGCCUACAUGAAGCCGGAGUUGCUAGUAAUCGCAAAUCAGCAUGUUGCGGUGAAUGCGUUCCCGGGUCUUGUACACACCGCCCGU